rnacentral:rRNA from 1 species
GUAACGUCUAUAGCGGCAGGCCUAACACAUGCAAGUCGAACGGUAAGCAUUUGCUAGCUUGCUAGAAGAUGACGAGUGGCGCACGGGUGAGUAACGCGUAUACAAUCUACCUUAAACAGGGGGAUAGCCUUUAGAAAUGAAGAUUAAUAUCCCAUAGUAAUUUAGAGUUGCAUGAUUUUAAAUUUAAAGUUUCGGCGGUAAAAGAUGAGUAUGCGUUCUAUUAGUUAGUUGGUAAGGUAACGGCUUACCAAGACAGCGAUAGAUAGGGGCCCUGAGAGGGGGAUCCCCCACACUGGUACUGAGACACGGACCAGACUAACUACGGGAGGCAGCAGUGAGGAAUAUUGGACAAUGGGCGAGAGCCUGAUCCAGCCAUGCCGCGUGCAGGAAGACUGCCCUAUGGGUUGUAAACUGCUUUUAUACAGGAAGAAACCUUUUCACGUGUGAAAAGCUGACGGUACUGUAAGAAUAAGGAUCGGCUAACUCCGUGCCAGCAGCCGCGGUAAUACGGAGGAUCCAAGCGUUAUCCGGAAUCAUUGGGUAUAAAGGGUCCGUAGGUGGAUAAUUAAGUCAGGGGUGAAAGUUUGCAGCUCAACUGUAAAAUCGCCUUUGAUACUGGUUAUCUUGAAUUAUUGUGAAGUGGUAAGAAUAUGUAGUGUAGCGGUGAAAUGCAUAGAUAUUACAUAGACUACCAAUUGCGAAGGCAGAUCACUAACACUAUAUUGACACUGAUAGACGAAAGCGUGGGGAGCGAACAGGAUUAGAUACCAUNGUAGUCACGCCGUAACGAUGGAUACUAGCUGGUCGGGUUUCGGAC